GACUAUGUUGAACAGCACAGGUGUCGGUAUAGAUCUUUGGGGGACUCCACUAUUUACAUCUCUCCAUUGUGAAAACUGACCAUUUAUUCUUACCCUUUGUUUCCUGUCUUUUAGCUAGUUACUGAUCCAUGAGAGGAUCUUCCCUCUUAUCCCAUGACUGCUCACUUGGCUUAAGAGCUUUUGGUGAGGGACCUUGUCAAAGGCUUUCUGAAAGUCCAAGUUUGCUAUAUCAACUGGAUCACCCUUGUCCACAUGCUUGUUGACACCCUCAAAGAAUUCUAAAAGAUUGAUCCCUCCACAAAGCAACACGGGGUCACUGUUCCAGUGACAACAUACCAAGAACAAUAGCUAUUCCUAAGGAGAUAGCGAGAAGGUGGGAACCAGGAGAAGAGCUCCGUGUAGCUCAAAAGCUUGUCCCUUCCACUAACAGAAGCUGAUCCAAUAAAAAAUAUUACAUCA